CCUACGGGAGGCAGCAGUAGGGAAUCUUCGGCAAUGGACGGAAGUCUGACCGAGCGAUGCCGCGUGAGCGAAGAAGGUCUUCGGAUCGUAAAGCUCUGUUAUGAGGGAAGAAGGACGUAGGCAGGCAAUGGCCUACGGGUGACGGUACCUCAUGAGGAAGCCACGGCUAACUACGUGCCAGCAGCCGCGGUAAU
rnacentral:rRNA from 1 species